GAUGAACGCUAGCUACAGGCUUAACACAUGCAAGUCGAGGGGUAACGAGAGGAAAGCUUGCUUUCCUUGUUGACGACCGGCGCACGGGUGAGUAACGCGUAUCCAACCUGCCCCCAACUAGGGAAUAACCUUGCGAAAGUAAGACUAAUACCCUAUAAUUUCCUCAGAUGUCAUCUGACGAGGAAUAAAGAUUUAUCGGUUGUGGAUGGGGAUGCGUCUGAUUAGCUUGUUGGCGGGGUAACGGCCCACCAAGGCAACGAUCAGUAGGGGUUCUGAAAGGAAGGUACCCCACAUUGGAAAUGAGACACGGUCCAAACUCCUACGGGAGGCAGCAGUGAGGAAUAUUGGUCAAUGGGCGGAAGCCUGAACCAGCCAAGUAGCGUGCAGGAUGACGGCCCUAUGGGUUGUAAACUGCUUUUAUACAGGAAUAAAGUUAGCCACGUGUGGUUAUUUGUAGGUACUGUAUGAAUAAGGACCGGCUAAUUCCGUGCCAGCCGCCGCCGUAA
rnacentral:rRNA from 1 species